GAGAAGCCGCAAUACUGAACAACCUCCACAGAACCAACCCUGUUGAAUUAAGACCUCGGCAAUAGCGGAUCACAGUGCAUCGCAUGAUUAUUUGCAUACAUACGAUAGAAUGGCAUUUGACCACAAUUUGGACGGCUGAACCGAAUGGCAACAACUAACGUCAUGCGGUCUGUCACCUUUAAGAGUAAGGUCUGGUUUGAAAAUGAAUGAACUGUGAUUUGACCAUCCUCUAUAUGUAAGACUAGCGUAUUAGGAUAACCAAAGCAGCGCUGUUCAGAACAGCAAAGUAGAAUAAGACAAGACAGGGGGUGUUAAGCUGUACGCUGGUGCAAAAUACGUUGCACACCGUUCAAAUUAGCAACCCUAGCCUUGCAGCGUGUGAUGGGAAAAAAAUAGCCUUAUUCGGGAUGUUGCAAUGUGACAGCCUGACGCUCCAAGUAUACAUGCUGGAGAGAUUUGGGUUGCAGUGCAUGCAGAGACCGGUUGGAUGCUUGUCUAUUAAGUACAAUGUGUGCUCUACUCUGAAACAGACUUUGUGACAAGGGGGGAAUCUUACGCUGGAUCUUGUCUACACAAAUAUUCCCAGUGUGUACCGAGCGAAUCCCUGCCCCCACUUCAGAUACUCAGACUACUACUGCUAAUUCUGGCAUACAGGCAAAUCGGUUCUGAGAUGGGUGAGAACCUGGCCUAGACUGGACUGUUUUAAGUUCACUGACUGGGACGUGUUAAGGGAGGCUGCAACAAAUGGCGAUCAAACCACCUCGGCGGAGUACACAUCUGUGACCAGCUACAUGAGUAAGUGCAUCGAUGAUGUCAAAUGCUGUUCAUAGAUUUCAGUUCAGCAUUCAACACAAUCAUUCAUCAGCAACUGACUGGAAAACUGAGCCUGCUGGGCCUGAACAGCAGUCCGGAUUGGUAACCGCAUCUCCAACACCACCACCACACUGAGCACUGGAGCCCCUCAGGGCUGUGUGCUCAGCCCACUGCUCUUCACUUUGCUGACCCAUGACUCUGCAUAAAUGCACAGUUAAAUCCACAUCAUCAAAUUUGCUGAUGACACGACUGUGGUGGGUCUCAUCAGCAAGAACGACGAAUCAGCAUACGGAGAGGAGGUGCAACAGCUAACGGACUGGUGUAGAGUCGACAACCUGUCCCUGAAUGUGGACAAAACAAAAGAGCUGAUUGUCGACUUCAAGAGAGCACAGAAAGAUCACUGUCCACUUAACAUCGAUGGAUCCUCUGUGGAGGUUGUCAAGAGCACCAAAUUCCUUGGUGUCCACCUGGCGGAGAACCUCUCCUAGUCCUUCAACACCAGCUCCAUAACUAAAAAGGCCCAACAGCGUCUCUACUUCCUGCAGAAACUGAGAAAAGCCCAUCUCCCUCCAUCCAUUCUAACCACCUUCUACAGAGGGAUUAUCGUGAGCGUCCAGAGCAGCUGCAUCACUGUCUGGUAUGGUAACUGCACCGCAUUGGAUCGUAAACCCUAUAA